ensembl:lncRNA
GGUCUUUAGGACUUUCUUGUUCUGUUGGGCGUUUCCUAAAAUACUGUUAAAGUCACCACAAAGACAAGACGGUUACUUUAAUAGUCGCAUUGCCAAUAUUUAUUGUGAUGUCACGAGAGGCGCCGCCGCUCUCUCCGGGGUAGUUCAAAUAGUGCGAGGAAACCGGGUUCAAAAUGUAAACAAAAGGUUUUAAUUUCCGUCCUUCAGGUUCAACAGAAAACAGUCAAAAACAGGGGGUAACUCAGGCUUCGGUCAAUCUUUGCCGGUAAAACUUAACUUAACGGAAAUCCACUUCUUUGAGGAAAACAACACCGUCCUCCCGGUCUCUCCUGCCUCCUCGAAUCCUUAUGGCUUGGUCUGCUCUUCUCAGCUCGUCUCUCCUCCAAUGGUGUGUCUUCCACCUUUAUGAAGGCCUCCUGGUCGUCACACCCUGAUGGGUCUCAGGUGUGAGGGGAAUGCUCUGAGUUUCGGGGCACCAGCAGAUGGAGCCAUAGUAGUUAUAGCCAUCGCCGGUGAACGUAUCUCCCUUCCAAGACCAAGCCUCUCGUGACAUCACAUUAUUUACAAGAUAUUUAUUUAUAAUUGACCUCUUACUUAUCUAAAUGAUUUCAUGUGUUUGCAUUUCAUUUUACAUGUUUUGCAGACAACCCUGCAUCGCAUUUCGAACCUUUUCUAUUAUACACAAAAUCCUCUGCAUGUCGUCUGGAGAUCCUGACUUUGGUGUCCGAGAGAUAUUGCCCGUCCCCAACGUCCCUCACCCACCUGGGCGAGAUGCAGCCCUGAACACCGCCUCCUCUGUCAUCAUGCUGUACAUUCCUGAGAAUGCAAUCAUCCCGUUCCGACGGCCCAAAAUAAGAAAGGCAAAACUUUCCAAUCUGUUUCACAGAGUCAAAGCCCAACCCCACUCUCGUGUCCCAGCCUGCAGAACAUUUUUACCAGCACCACUUCAGCCGCAGCGCCUAUGAAGUGAUGGCGAUGGUGGGGCUACGGGCUUUUGGGUCUUGCCCAACGACGUAUUGAGGAGGACUGGUGGAGCCGGGGAAUUAACCUCCCACCCUAUGUCACCCUGGUCUCAGAAACCAUCUCCUUCCAACCCCCGACCAUAUCAUUCAGUUAUUAAGGUUCUCGGCUGCUGGUCUUUACCACUUGGGUUGCAUGUAUCCAUUCCAAGCCAAACAAUAUCAGAAAACUUCCACUUCCACCAGUCCUUAUUGAGCUAUCUUUUUGGAACUCAUAAGAGUUUUGUUUCCCCUCGUUCCCACCAGCCAAGGAAUGCCAGGGGUCCAAUACGGUUCUCUUCUGUUCAUCAUUCCACAUUGCUCUUUACCCUCCUUGUUCCUUUACUCUUCAUCCCUCAUGCUUUUACUCCAUCCCCACAUCCUACACCUGUUAUCAUUCCUUACCCGUCAUCCCACAAUCCCCCAUGACUCUCAUCCUUUCUUCCAUUAACCACCUGUUGCUCCCGAAGUCUG